rnacentral:lncRNA from 1 species
UAAAACCAAACAAGGCAAGGGUUAAGUUUAUGAAUAGUUAACGCUGUACAGAAUGCUCGACCAUCUUUGUCGUUAGAAACAAGUAAAUAUUUGAUUUUUGUUGUUGAAGGAAACCGCCCAAGGAGAAGAACCACAUAAGUCUGUUUUCGACAGGAGUAUUUUGUGCUCUGUGCCAUCAGAAGAUAUCGCAAUAACGUUGUUUGUUUCGACCCCGGCGACGAUAGCAUUUCCGUGUUUAUCUACUGUAAUUCCUCUUGGUUUUUAAAGAUCCGCGUCUGUAAAUGUUCACAGUACUUCCCCGUUUCUUUUAUGACACACAAUCGUAUUCGUAUCUUUCUUUACAGAAUAAAGAGUGUUGUUUAAUUCGGUAAUACUUCUUGACACCACCGUACUGCUAAUAUCAUUUGUCUUGUUAUCCUCUAACCGGACUUCUUUCAUUUGUCCGUUCUCGAGGCAGACUAUACAGGUGCCUUCAGUGUAAGUUAAGCAAAGAGCAGGGUCAGACGUACUGAUAGUCUUGAUUGUUUUCCCAGAUUUCAGGCUGAUUAGUUCAAUAUUUUUCUGUGUUUAUGAUAUUACGGCAACAGUGUCAUUGUCAACACAUUUAACAUCAAUGAUUGUUUGCAUGAUGCUGAUAAUUUU